CGGCGGACGGGUGAGUAAUGCCUAGGAAUCUGCCUGGUAGUGGGGGACAACGUUUCGAAAGGAACGCUAAUACCGCAUACGUCCUACGGGAGAAAGCAGGGGACCUUCGGGCCUUGCGCUAUCAGAUGAGCCUAGGUCGGAUUAGCUAGUUGGUGAGGUAAUGGCUCACCAAGGCGACGAUCCGUAACUGGUCUGAGAGGAUGAUCAGUCACACUGGAACUGAGACACGGUCCAGACUCCUACGGAAGGCAGCAGGC
rnacentral:rRNA from 1 species